CAUAUGGAUUCCUACGGGAGGCAGCAGUAAGGAAUAUUGGUCAAUGGAGGCAACUCUGAACCAGCCAUGCCGCGUGCAGGAUGAAGGCCCUAUGGGUCGUAAACUGCUUUUAUACCGGAGAAAACCACCGUACGUGUACGGUGUUGAUAGUAUGGUAAGAAUAAGCAUCGGCUAACUUCGUGCCAGCAGCCGCGGUAAGACGAAGGAUGCAAGCGUUAUCCGGAUUCAUUGGGUUUAAAGGGUGCGUAGGCGGACCUGUAAGUCAGUGGUGAAAUCUCUUUGCUUAACAAAGAAACUGCCAUUGAUACUGCAAGUCUAGAGUAUAGAUGACGUUGGCGGAAUAUGACAUGUAGUGGUGAAAUACUUAGAUAUGUCAUAGAACACCGAUUGCGAAGGCAGCUAACGAAACUAUAACUGACGCUGAGGCACGAAAGUGCGGGGAUCAAACAGGAUUAGAUACCCUGGUAGUCCGCACCGUAAACGAUGAUUACUCGUUGUUGGCAAUAUGACCGUCAGCGACCAAGCGAAAGCGAUAAGUAAUCCACCUGGGGAGUACGCCGGCAACGGUGAAACUCAAAGGAAUUGACGGGGGCCCGCACAAGCGGAGGAGCAUGUGGUUUAAUUCGAUGAUACGCGAGGAACCUUACCUGGGCUUGAAAGUUAGCGACCGGUCCUGAAAGGGAUCUUCCAGCAAUGGCGCGAAACUAGGUGCUGCAUGGCUGUCGUCAGCUCGUGCCGUGAGGUGUUGGGUUAAGUCCCGCAACGAGCGCAACCCCUAUUGUUAGUUACCAGCGAGUUAUGUCGGGAACUCUAACGAAACUGCCCGUGCAAACGGUGAGGAAGGUGGGGACGACGUCAAGUCAUCACGGCCCUUACGUCCAGGGCUACACACGUGCUACAAUGGUCGGUACAACGGGCAGCUACACAGCGAUGUGAUGCUAAUCUCUAAAAACCGAUCUCAGUUCGGAUUGAAGUCUGCAACUCGACUUCAUGAAGCUGGAUUCGCUAGUAAUCGCGCAUCAGCAAUGGCGCGGUGAAUACGUUCCCGGGCCUUGUACACACCGCCAUCGGUUCCCACGGGUACCG
rnacentral:rRNA from 1 species